GAUGAAGAACGUAGCGAAAUGCGAUAAGUAAUGUGAAUUGCAGAAUUCAGUGAAUCAUCGAAUCUUUGAACGCACAUUGCGCCCGCCAGUAUUCUGGCGGGCAUGUCUGUUCGAGCGUCAUUUCAACCCUCAAGCCCAGCUUGGUGUUGGGGAUCGGCACAGGCGCCCUCGGGCGCCCGCCGUCCCCUAAAUCUAGUGGCGGUCCCGCUGCAGCCUCCUCUGCGUAGUAGUUUUCUCCUCGCAAGGGCAGCUCGGUGGCGACCUCGCCGUAAAACCCCCAACUUCUGAAAGGUUGACCUCGAAUCAGGUAGGAAUACCCGCUGAACUUAAGCAUAUCAAUAAGCGGAGGA
rnacentral:misc_RNA from 1 species